AUGGGCACGAAACAUACCACAUUUUACGGAGGAUGUAGCCCCAGAGGGAGGUGGAGGAGAAGCAUAAAUGAAAAGCACCUUUUCCUUCCUCUAGAAGAUGCACAGAGAAUUUCUGACCUUGUGACGUUUGGGAGUGAGGAGAUCCCAUAUGGAGGCAUCCAGGUAUUUCCAGAGAUCCUGUGGCAGGUGAGGUCUGCCCCGGCUGGAGCCAACUCGUCUAUAAUAUCUUCCUAACAGCAGCAGUUCCAGUGCCUUAGAGGGAAUGUCUUCACCAGUGCUCUAAAAGGCAACAGGAUUUUCUGCCCCGUGUCCAGCAGCU
rnacentral:lncRNA from 1 species